rnacentral:rRNA from 2 species
AACGAACGCUGGCGGCAGGCUUAACACAUGCAAGUCGAGCGCCCCGCAAGGGGAGCGGCAGACGGGUGAGUAACGCGUGGGAAUCUACCCUUUGCUACGGAAUAACGCAGGGAAACUUGUGCUAAUACCGUAUGUGUCCUUCGGGAGAAAGAUUUAUCGGCAAGAGAUGAGCCCGCGUUGGAUUAGCUAGUUGGUGGGGUAAAGGCCUACCAAGGCGACGAUCCAUAGCUGGUCUGAGAGGAUGAUCAACCACAUUGGGACUGAGACACGGCCCAAACUCCUACGGGAGGCAGCAGUGGGGAAUAUUGGACAAUGGGCGCAAGCCUGAUCCAGCCAUGCCGCGUGAGUGAUGAAGGCCCUAGGGUUGUAAAGCUCUUUCACCGGAGAAGAUAAUGACGGUUUCCGGAGAAGAAGCCCCGGCUAACUUCGUGCCAGCCGCC